CCAAAAAAAUCAUCAUUCUGCAGUUAGCAAAAUCAUAGGAGACGAUUUAGCUUCCAUACCCAAUUUCAAUUUUUCCCUUCAAAACUCUCAACAACAAACAAACUGGAUUCACAACAUCCUCGAGAAGCUCCUCCUCUCUCUGAGUUUUCAACAAAUUAUUCUCAAAUGGAUUCAUCAUCAUUUCCAAAUGGUGAGGGACUUGACAACGAAGGAACUGAUUCUGGCAAACGAAAAGCACCAGAUGACCCAAAUGGAGCUACUUCUCAACCAAAAACACAAAAGGAGCAAAGGCGAGAGGGCUGAAGUAUGGGAGCAUUUCACAAAACAUAAAGACAAUCGUGAUAUGAAUACAAUUUACGAUUGGGUAGGGCUACAACCUCUGAAAACAGUCAGUUUUCUCAGACAUCUCAGUGCAAUCAAGAGCAGUCAACUGAAAGAUGGGAUGACGACCUCGACUUGGUUUCUAAUCGUAAAAGAAGAAAGGUGGAAUCUAGAUUUAUAGAGAUGCAAAAUGAGAAAGGAGUUAAAGUAUCAAAGGAUGAGCUGGAUGUGUAUCUAAAGGAAAGUUGUGAGACUCCAGAUGUGAUGCAUGGAAUGUAGUAUGAUGUACUGUCUUGGUGGAAGGUCAAUGCCCACAAAUAUUCAGUUUUAGCAGAGAUAGCUCGUGAUGUACUUGCAGUCCAAGUGUCAUCGGUUGCAUCGGAGAGUGCAUUCAGAACGAGUGGAAGAAUCAUAUCGCCAGCAAGGAGUUCUCUAACUCAUUAUAUGGUGGAGGUUUUGAUGUGUUUAGAGCAGUGGAUGAAACAAGAUAUUUCAUUGUCAUCAAAAGUGCUUACAAUUUCACAAAUACUUGCUGACAUAGAAUAUGAGAAGAAGCUUGAGUAAGGUUCGCAAUGCUCUUAUCCUUGAGGAUCGAAGCUGGACUGAGGAAGAAUUUUUGUGUAAACAGUGGUAAAAGCUCGAGCUUGCCAGCAGGCUAAGUUAAUCAAACACAAAAAAGAAAACAAGGCGUUUCGAAAUCGGGAAUGGGAGACGUUCAUCCUAAAGCGUUCAUCUGCUUUUCUGCUGCGGCUUGGAAGGAAGCAACUAAGUGGUGUGGAAUGGGCUGGAUCAUUGAGUCACCGAGCAAUGGCUUGACCCAACAAGGUUUCUCUGCUCUUGUAGCAGAGACAUUAGCUUUGAAGGCGGCUAUUUUGGCGGCUUUAGCUUUGGGUGUAACAAGACUGGCCUACAACUCGGAUUGCCAAAACCUCAUCCAUCUUCUCACUUCCGCUGGCCACACAAACGAGCUUGAUGGCUUGUUGGAGGAUAUCAAAAUCUUUAGCGCUAAGUUUAGUUUGAUUUCUUUUCAUUUUAUUCUUCGUGUUGAGAUUCCAGAAGCUCAUGCCUUGGCAAAAGUUGGACUUCUUUCGUGUAUUUCACCCUCUGCUUUAGGAGGUUGAGACUUUGGUUCAGAUUUUAUAUUAUUGGUUUACAAAAAAAAAAAAAGAAUCCCCACUUUCAAACCUUUUUCUCAAACCAUCACUUGUAAGUUUGCUUGUGGACAAACAACUGAUAAAUUUGGGUGUUUUUAAUUGUUUUAAGGUGGUUAA